GUUCCUGUCAAGGGGGCAGCAGGUCCAGAGCUGCUGGUGCUCCCGUUCCCCAGACCCUACCCCUAUCCCCAGUGGAGCCGGAGUGCGGGCGCGCCCCACCACCGCCCUCACCAUGGUGCUGUUGGCAGCAGCGGUCUGCACAAAAGCAGGAAAGGCUAUUGUUUCUCGACAGUUUGUGGAAAUGACCCGAACUCGGAUUGAGGGCUUAUUAGCAGCUUUUCCAAAGCUCAUGAACACUGGAAAACAACAUACGUUUGUUGAAACAGAGAGUAUACGCAUGUCUUCUGUUCUUUUCCCGUAUCAAUUCAUUCCUUCAUCUCUUUGCCAAGUUGUUUUCCUUUCAGGGCCUGUCCUUCCAGUUUAGAACAGUACCAUGAAUCCCACUUGUGUCAAUAUUAAAGAUAGCUGAGAAGCACCUUUCAAAUGGCACAGUCCCUCUUCAAGAUGUCUAAAAGAAUGGUUAUGUCUGUCCAGUUAGGGAUUUCACAUCCACAUGUAAUCAUGUCUGCUGCUGUUGCUACCCAAAUUUUCAUUUCUCCACAUUUUGGGUACUUAAGCUAAAACGUAAUGGCCACAGUCUGUAAUCCAUUCACAUUCCUCAGUUUCACCACCUCCCUCUUCCAGACUGCACUCUCUGUCAUCAGUCCCCUCCUUUCUAACAGAAAUGGGGUUAUGAUUUUGAAGGCUGUGGGUUCAGGGAGUCUUUGCCAAUCCUGUUGGCCCUAAACUAUCAAGGAGGCUCCAUUUCACCAUUUGAUUUUUUGCAUUUCAGGAGGCAACUGAUUGUUUCGAUAUGUACAUAUUACUCACGUAUACCCCAUUUCCUUCCAGUCAGCCCAACAUUUUCCACCAGUCUGUCCCCAUCUCUGAAAUCCUUCCUUCUCUUUCCCCCUAAGUCUUUUGAGUGUCAUCAUGUACUGGUGGUUUCUCGGUUCCAUCUCAUCCAUUUCCUUUUCAAUGGAGACUACAGCGUCAGCCAGCUCAGCCUUGGCUUUUAACUCAAUAUUCCAGUCCAUAGGGGUGGUUAAAAGUUGCUGCAAGGCUGCAGGCACUGGCAGUGGGAAGAGGCAGACGACUAGAUGACUUCUGCACUUUUAGCUGGUUGAAAAGUACCACUCCCACUCUGAACAUCUGGCCGUCCCUGCAAAGAGUGUACUGUGCUUGAAGCAGAGCACUCACACAUAAAUGGCUGUGUGUGGAAUUGCUUGCCAAAGAAGUUUCUAGCCUUUCCCUUUCCCCUAACUGCAUCAGGGAAGAAUUCUUAUCUCUAGCUUGGUUUCCACAUGAGGUUUUUCUGAGAAGGGCUUGGGACAAGAAGUCUGUCAUGUUAGUUAAGCAGGCAAGAAAUCCUACUAAUCCAGUUUUGUUUGAAAGUUGUUUGUCCGUAUGAUUUUUUAAAAGUCAAGUUUAAUUUCAAAAAACCUUUUUUUUCUGAGAUUACUUUUGGGGUAAUAUUUAAAAUGAGAGACAUUUUGUAACCCUGUAAAAUACAUAGGGAAUAUAACAUUCCAGUGUAUACAAAGAAGGCAAAUUCUUUAAUCAAAUAAAGCGCAUUAUAAAAUGAGAUGUUUAUUGGAUUAUUGACUCACUUUGGUGUCUGCUUGUUGAUUCAGGAUGCUGUAAUGGGACCUAACAUUAAAAAUUAAUGACAUGUUUUUUUUAAGAGAAA
rnacentral:lncRNA from 1 species